AGUCACGACGCAUAUCAAUAAGCGGAGGAAAAGAAACCAACAGGGAUUGCCCCAGUAACGGCGAGUGAAGCGGCAACAGCUCAAAUUUGAAAUCUGGCCCCUCCGGGUCCGAGUUGUAAUUUGUAGAGGAUGCUUUUGGUGAGGUGCCGCCCGAGUUCCCUGGAACGGGACGCCACAGAGGGUGAGAGCCCCGUCUGGCUGGCCACCGAGCCUCUGUAAAGCUCCUUCGACGAGUCGAGUAGUUUGGGAAUGCUGCUCAAAAUGGGAGGUAUAUGUCUUCUAAAGCUAAAUAUUGGCCAGAGACCGAUAGCGCACAAGUAGAGUGAUCGAAAGAUGAAAAGCACCUUGAAAAGAGGGUUAAACAGUACGUGAAAUUGUUGAAAGGGAAGCGCUUGUGACCAGACUUGGGCGCGGCGGAUCAUCCGGGGUUCUCUCCGGUGCACUUCGCCGCGUUCAGGCCAGCAUCAGUUCGUCGCGGGGGAAAAAGGCUUCGGGAACGUGGCUCCUCCGGGAGUGUUAUAGCCCGUUGCAUAAUACCCUGCGGUGGACUGAGGACCGCGCAUCUGCAAGGAUGCUGGCGUAAUGGUCACCAGCG
rnacentral:rRNA from 2 species